rnacentral:rRNA from 1 species
UACGUAGGGUGCAAGCGUUAAUCGGAAUUACUGGGCGUAAAGCGUGCGCAGGCGGUGAUGUAAGACAGAUGUGAAAUCCCCGGGCUCAACCUGGGAACUGCGUUUGUGACUGCAUCGCUGGAGUGCGGCAGAGGGGGAUGGAAUUCCGCGUGUAGCAGUGAAAUGCGUAGAUAUGCGGAGGAACACCGAUGGCGAAGGCAAUCCCCUGGGCCUGCACUGACGCUCAUGCACAAAAGCGUGGGGAGCAAACAGG